rnacentral:antisense_RNA from 1 species
GGCGCUUGAGGCUUUUUGCCUCAUGACGUGAAGGUGGUUUGUUACGUGUUGUGAGGCAGAAAGAAGAAAGCCCCGAAGGUAAUUUUUCAAUUAACCAACGAGGCUCAAUCUGUAUGACUCGACACCAUCAGAUUAGCCGCUUAUCCGCCGAAAGGCAAGGAGAAGUCAGCUAU